rnacentral:rRNA from 1 species
CGGAGGGGGCUAGCGUUGUUCGGAAUUACUGGGCGUAAAGCGCACGUAGGCGGCUUUGUAAGUUAGAGGUGAAAGCCCGGAGCUCAACUCCGGAAUUGCCUUUAAGACUGCAUCGCUAGAACGUCGGAGAGGUGAGUGGAAUUCCGAGUGUAGAGGUGAAAUUCGUAGAUAUUCGGAAGAACACCAGUGGCGAAGGCGGCUCACUGGACGACUGUUGACGCUGAGGUGCGAAAGCGUGGGGAGCAAACAGGA